rnacentral:lncRNA from 1 species
UCAUUGAUCAGCCGAUCAAGGUUGUUCUCCACCGUCUGGAUAUAUCGAGAUAGAUUGCGAAGUGGGCUCUGAAAUUCUUGGAGUUGGAUGUGCAGUACCGCCCAAAGCCUUCCAUUAAAGCCCAAGUGUUGGCGGACUUUGUCCUUGAAUGCACCAUCUCGAAAGGAGAAAACUUCAAAAGUGGAGAAAGCUUAAGAAGUGAAAAAGUAAAUGCGAGACCUGACCCUG